rnacentral:lncRNA from 1 species
ACUUGGUGCAGAUAAUAUUGUUAAAGUUUCAACAAAUUUGCAGGUAUGUUACUGCCCAUUGCCCAGCAGAAGAGUUUAGAAAAGUAAAAGACAUCUCAAAAUCUUCAUGCUCACAAUCCUUCCCUUUCUCUUAAUCAUCAUAACAACAUGUUCUGCUGAACCAACUCUGUUGCAUUAAGACCUUGUUCCAACUUCCUCAGUUCUUUUUUGUUCUCAGUACCUUUUUGUUCUCUGUUUGAAAGUUGACCACUCUAAUCUGCAUUAUUCUUGUUAUCAGAGUAGAGGUGAGCUUGAGCUUUGGUUCGUUUGAAAAUUGUUCAUGUGCUCCUCACGCUUGUUUUUUCUGCUUGAAUAAACCGCUAUGAGUUGAGUAUUUUGCAGGACAUAGCUGAAGAAGUGGAAAAGAUACAGAAAGCCAUGGGGACAGGAAUAGAUGUGAGCUUUGAUUGUGCAGGCUUUAACAAAACCAUGUCAACAGCACUGAGUGCUACUCGUGCAGGUGGUAAAGUUUGCCUCGUGGGGAUGGGUCAUCUUGAAAUGACUGUCCCACUCACUCCGGCUGCUGCAAGGUACUUGAUUUACAGUUUUCUUUUUCAUUUUUUUUAAUUGUUUUGGGCUACUCCGUUAUUUAGUUUUAAGUUUCUAAUUGGAUUCAGCAAAUUCACUUUAAGGUGGCGUUUAUUUUUUUGUCUCAAAUUUGAAUAAACUUGAAUUAGUUUGAAUUCUUAAUAUAACUGAAUAUUUGAAUCUUAAUGAUAUAUUUGUUUUCUUUUUUUGUCUGAAUCGAUAAAAAUAAAUUUAAAGUUUUUUUUUACCUGAAAAAUGUAAAAACUAAUAUUUUUACAUUUAUUCCCUUACAAAUUAUAAAUGUUAAACAAAUAAUAAACAUCUCAAAGAAUAUAAAGAAAAUAAUAUAUUAUCAUAACAUAAAUCAUAUUCAAUCGAAUACAACUCUUUAAUAUUCUAUAUUAUAUAUAUUAAUCAAUUUUAUUAUAGUUUAUGAUGUUUUUAUACGAAAAAUAUUUAUAAAAAAUUAUGAAAAUAAAUAAUGCUAGUUUGUAGAAAAUAAAAAGAUAAAAAUAAUAAUAAUCUACCACUAUAUAUUAUCACAAGUUAUAUAGAGAUGGGUGAUAAUGCUAAUUAUUAAAUUUUAUUUAGAUAAGAAUGAAAAUUAAUUAAUGAAAUAGGGAUAUUUUGGAGAAUAUCUUUCAAUGAUUUAUUAAGGCUUUUUAAAUUAAGUAAAAAACUUUAAAAAAUUAGCUUAAUAACUUAAUGAGUUAAUUGAUUAAAAUUAAGUAAAUUAAGUCAAGUCAAAAAAGCAAAUGACUCGUAAGUCUCUAAAAUGCAAAUAAAAAAAUAACACAAAAAUUCGUGGGCGGGGGCAUUUCAUUGUUGGAUUGGGAACAAAUGGAUUUAAGAAAUGAGAGAAUUAAGGAUACCCAGAAAGAGCAUAAAACCAUAAUUUUUAAGAACAUGUAAAAUGGUAAACAAAAGUUGUUGAAUAAAAGUUGGAAUGUCCUAGAAUCAAUGGACUUGAAAGAAGAAUGUAAACAAAUUCUUGUGCUUGGGUUGUAUGUUAUCCAAUAGAACAUGAUGGCAUGUCAAGAACAACUUUCACAAACCAUCUUGUAUAUUGUUUCUGUUUAAUGACUUUUUCUUUCCUUUUCUCGAAACAUAUGUUUAAUGACUUCUUAAGCUGAAUAACCCGUUUCAGCUUUUAAUUGGACUAAAAUCCAUCUGAACCUUUUAUCCUUAAAUUUAUGUACAUAAUUGCGAAUGCAGGGAGGUGGAUGUGGUGGGGGUGUUUCGCUACAAGAACACCUGGCCACUGUGUCUGGAGUUCCUUAGAAGCGGAAAGAUUGAUGUAAAGCCCCUUAUCACGCAUAGGUUUGGUUUCUCCCAGAAAGAAGUGGAAGAGGCCUUUGAAACAAGUGCUCGUGGUGGUACUGCAAUCAAGGUCAUGUUUAAUCUGUAAAAUACAACGUAAAGUAAACGUUUGGGCAAAAGAUGAAAUAAAAUGGAAUUGUCGCCGAGUAAUAUGAAUCAAAGUGUAGCAUAUUACUUUAUUUCUAUCUAUUACAAAAUAAAAUUCAGAUUUCUCAAGUUUUUUGUUCUUUAUUGUCUGCACUGUGCUAUAUUUUCUUUCAUCCUUUUGUGUAUGCUUAUUUGAAAGCCAAUCAAUAGGUUUCCUGGUUAACAGAUGAUUACCCUGCAAGACAUUUCAGUCACCACUUUCGUUCAGCCGUGAGUUGUGUUUGCUGUAGACAACUGCAGGCCGAACUCUUUCCUUUAACCUUCUUAACCUUUUUUAAAAGAUAAAACAAUUCUUUCAUACCAUUUUGCAAAAUUAGCCACCACUCACAUACAUGAAGUUGAUUUUGAUUCCUUUAUGAAGAUACAAUUAUUGCACUGUUUCGAUUUCGGGGUCCAUAAAUUCUGAAAAAAACAAAAUUCACAAACAACAAACGGUUCUGAAACCGAUAAAUUCCCUCCACGUAAGCACGUUAUCCCGUUGAAAAAAGAAACCAUUAUCUCUAUCACAAAUUUUUUAAAACUGUCAUUAGUAAUUGGAUUUAUCCUUAAAUAAAAAUGAGUCAGAUGAAAACAGAAAUGAGAAAUCAAUAAUCUACACGGAUAAAUAAAAAGAACACUUGAUGUUAUGCUAAACUUGUCAUUAAAUAUUCCUGCGACCGAAUCAAAUCAUAUCCAAUAUCCAGAAUCAGAUAGUGUACAGAGUGAAGUCUCUGCUGUGCACUUGUGUUUUGAAGGGUGAAAAGCAAAUAUGGGCAAAGGAGGGAUGUCGCAAGGAGAAAAGGAAGAUGGAGAAGAAGUUAACAUGGCAGCUUGGCUUAUGGGUGUCAACACCCUCAAGAUUCAGCCUUUUGAGCUUCCUUCUCUGGGUAUUUUGAUCUUUCUUUCAUUUCAGUCUUGUAUCUUAGAAGUGUUAUGGAAUUUGUUUAUUGGUUGAAGAUAUGAACUUUUGAUAGAUUGAUAGAUAUCUAAAAAGAGAUCUUUGGUUGAAAAACAAUAAAAACACAUCUUCCAAUACAGCUUAUCUCAUACCUCUUACAAUUGAAUUACCUAUCACUCACAAUUAAUGUAAUUCAAACUGAUUGUUUUAACAUCUUUGUUUGUUAUUUGUAAACUGUAGGACCAUAUGAUGUUUUAGUCAGGAUGAAAGCCGUUGGUAUUUGUGGAAGUGAUGUGCAUUUUCUCAAGGUAUAUUUGUUAAUUCCUCUUCAACUUCCCUUAAAUUAUUAUUAUUAUUUUGGCAAUUACUCUGUCAAAUUGCUGAGAAAUGUUAAUAACGGAAUAUUUUCACUUAAUGUUAUUCAAAAUAAUACUUGAAUGUUGAAUGUUUGUGUAUUUUUGCAGACCUUGAGGCUUGCCGAUUUUGUAGUGAAAGAGCCUAUGGUGAUCGGGCAUGAGUGUGCUGGGGUCAUAGAGAAGGUGGGAAGCGAGGUGAAGACUUUGGUGCCCGGUGACCGUGUGGCCCUGGAACCAGGGAUCAGCUGCUGGCGAUGUGAUCACUGCAAAGGAGGUCGAUACAAUUUGUGUCCAGAGAUGAAAUUUUUUGCAACUCCGCCAGUUCAUGGUUCUCUGGCUAAUCAGGUUGAUUGAAAAUUUACAUUUUUAGCUAAGGUCUAGAGGACUAUAAGAUGAGAAAUAUGGUAGACUGACUUUAACACAGUUUAUGCCCUUAUAAAUUUCAGUAAUGAUAUACUUACUAUGGUAAGUAUACCAUCACUACAGAACAAAAAAAUUUGAUUACAAGAUAAAAGAAAAUUCCAUUGUAAGACAAUUUUUUUUUUUUUUUGCUUUCUCUUACAGAUUUUGUACUAAUAAUUAUACAAACAUUAUUAUUCUAUAAAUUUCACUGUUUGAGAUUUUUUAUUGUCUUAGAUUAUUACUACAAUACGAUCUAUGCCCUUGUGAAUUCUGUUGCAUAAAUAGUGGUGUCACUUUACCUGUUCUUCUAAAAACAUACUGGUUACUGUCAAUUGUGUAGUUCCCAUUUGAUCUUCUGUUCCCUCUUGUCAUAUAUUUUUUAUCUGGAAAUGAUUGUUGAUUCCUUUUAUUUGAAAUGAAAUUGACUGCUAUCAAAAUUGAUCGGCUGCUUGACAUAAUGACUAAGAUGCAUCUCUUGUGUAUAAUAGGUGGUGCAUCCUGCAGACCUAUGUUUUAAGCUGCCGGACAAUGUGAGCCUGGAGGAAGGGGCUAUGUGUGAGCCCUUGAGUGUUGGUGUUCAUGCUUGCCGCCGUGCCAAUAUCGGUCCUGAGACAAAUGUGCUUAUCAUGGGUGCAGGGCCCAUAGGACUUGUCACAAUGCUAGCAGCUCGUGCUUUUGGAGCUCCUAGAAUUGUCAUUGUGGAUGUGGAUGACUAUCGUUUAUCUGUUGCAAAGGAAAUUGGUGCAGAUAAUAUUGUUAAAGUUUCAACAAAUUUGCAGGUAUAUUACUGCUCAUUGCCCAGCAGAAGAGUUUAGAAAAGUAAAAGACAUCUCAAAAUCUUCAUGCUCACAAUCCUUCCCUUUCUGGCUUUCUCUUAAUCAUCAUAACAACAUGUUUUGUUCAACCAACUCUGUUGCAUUAAGACCUUGUUCUAACUUCCUCAGUUCAUUUUUGUUCUCAGUACCUUUUGUUUUCUGUUUGAAAGUUGACAACUCUAAUCUGCAUUAUUCUUGUUAUCAGAGUAGAGGUGAGCUUGAGCUUUGGUUCGUUUGAAAAUUGUUCAUGUGCUCCUCACGCUUGUUUUUUCUGCUUGAAUAAACCGCUAUGCAUCGAGUAAUUUGCAGGAU